rnacentral:lncRNA from 10 species
CUCUCUUCCACAGGAGGCCUACACGCCGCCGCUUGUGCUGCAGCCAUGUCUCUAGUGAUCCCUGAAAAGUUCCAGCAUAUUUUGCGAGUACUCAACACCAACAUCGAUGGGCGGCGGAAAAUAGCCUUUGCCAUCACUGCCAUUAAGCCUUCGUGUCCGAGGCCAGCACACCAAGACCACUGGCCGCCGUGGCCGCACCGUGGGUGUGUCCAAGAAGAAAUAAGUCUGUAGGCCUUGUCUGUUAAUAAAUAGUUUAUAUAC